UUCUAUUUACUUGAAGUUAAUUAUUUGGUGAAAAAGCUAAAUUUUUCUUAGAGGACGAUAAGACCCUAUAGAUCUUUAUAAAAUUAUAUCAGUUUUUUGGAUGUUAUCAAACUGGUAGAUUUUUUAUUUCGUUGGGGCGACGUUGAGGGUUGAUUUAUCUCUCAAAAUGAUAUUACAUUAAUUAAUGAUUUUUGAUCCUUUGGUGAAUUAGGAUAAAGUUACCUUAGGGAUAACAGCGUAAUUUUUCUUGAGAGUUCUUAUCG
rnacentral:rRNA from 1 species